CAGCCGCCACGGUAAUACGAAGGUCCCGAGCGUUGUUCGGAAUCACUGGGCGUAAAGGGAGCGUAGGCGGCGUGGUAAGUCAGAUGUGAAAUCCCGGGGCUCAACCCCGGAACUGCAUCCGAUACUGCCAUGCUAGAGGAUUGGAGAGGUAGCUGGAAUUCUUGGUGUAGCAGUGAAAUGCGUGGAGAUCAAGAGGAACACUCGUGGCGAAAGCGAGCUACUGGACAAUAACUGACGCUGAGGCUCGAAGGCCAGGGUAGCGAAAGGGAUUAGAUACCCGGGUAGUCCCUGUCUCUUAUAC
rnacentral:rRNA from 1 species